rnacentral:lncRNA from 1 species
GCGAGGCAAGGAAGAAGCGAAUGAGAGAGGGGAAAACGGCUCGGGUGCUGGCGCGGUUCAAAAGGCCAAGUCGCGGGGGAAACAGAGGGAGAAUCGUGGGAGCGGGGGGGGGGGGGGGGAAGACCUUGCGGUUCUGCUGAACCGAGAGAGAGGAGGCGGUUGGAGGGAGGAAGGGGAUGACAGGUGGGCCCGACCUGUCGGCGAUAGAGAGAGGGAGAGGGAGUUGGCCAGCUGGGCCUCGGCCCAGGAAGAGAAGAAGGGGGCGCAGGAUUUGGGCCCUGCAGGCCAAAAGGAGAAGGGAGGGGGGAAGAGUUUUGCCAUUUUCUUUUUUUUUCAAACAAAAUUUUCAACACAUUUUCCAAUUGAAUUUUUGAUCAAAUUGACAUUUUGUUUUUAGAAUACUCAUCACAAUAAUAAUGCACCAGC